rnacentral:rRNA from 1 species
AUUGAACGCUGGCGGCAUGCCUUACACAUGCAAGUCGAACGGCAGCGGACCUUCGGGUGCCGGCGAGUGGCGAACGGGUGAGUAAAGUAUCGGAACGUACCUUUCAGUGGGGGAUAACUGUCCGAAAGGACAGCUAAUACCGCAUAUUCUGUGAGCAGGAAAGCAGGGGAUCGCAAGACCUUGCGCUGAUUGAGCGGCCGAUAUCAGAUUAGCUAGUUGGUGAGGUAAAGGCUCACCAAGGCGACGAUCUGUAGCGGGUCUGAGAGGAUGAUCCGCCACACUGGAACUGAGACACGGUCCAGACUCCUACGGGAGGCAGCAGUGGGGAAUUUUGGACAAUGGGCGCAAGCCUGAUCCAGCCAUGCCGCGUGAGUGAAGAAGGCCUCGGUUGUAA